AUGAACGCUAGCGACAGGCUUAACACAUGCAAGUCGAGGGGCAGCACAGGUAGCAAUACCGGGUGGCGACCGGCGCACGGGUGAGUAACGCGUAUGCAACUUGCCUAUCAGAGGGGGAUAACCCGGCGAAAGUCGGACUAAUACCGCAUGAAGCAGGGAUCCCGCAUGGGAAUAUUUGCUAAAGAUUCAUCGCUGAUAGAUAGGCAUGCGUUCCAUUAGGCAGUUGGCGGGGUAACGGCCCACCAAACCGACGAUGGAUAGGGGUUCUGAGAGGAAGGUCCCCCACAUUGGUACUGAGACACGGACCAAACUCCUACGGGAGGCAGCAGUGAGGAAUAUUGGUCAAUGGGCGCGAGCCUGAACCAGCCAAGUCGCGUGAGGGAUGAAGGUUCUAUGGAUCGUAAACCUCUUUUAUAAGGGAAUAAAGUGCGGGACGUGUCCCGUUUUGUAUGUACCUUAUGAAUAAGGAUCGGCUAACUCCGUGCCAGCAGCCGCGGUAAUACGGAGGAUCCGAGCGUUAUCCGGAUUUAUUGGGUUUAAAGGGUGCGUAGGCGGCCUUUUAAGUCAGCGGUGAAAGUCUGUGGCUCAACCAUAGAAUUGCCGUUGAAACUGGGAGGCUUGAGUAUGUUUGAGGCAGGCGGAAUGCGUGGUGUAGCGGUGAAAUGCUUAGAUAUCACGCAGAACCCCGAUUGCGAAGGCAGCCUGCCAAGCCAUGACUGACGCUGAUGCACGAAAGCGUGGGGAUCAAACAGGAUUAGAUACCCUGGUAGUCCACGCAGUAAACGAUGAUCACUAGCUGUUUGCGAUACAUUGUAAGCGGCACAGCGAAAGCGUUAAGUGAUCCACCUGGGGAGUACGCCGGCAACGGUGAAACUCAAAGGAAUUGACGGGGGCCCGCACAAGCGGAGGAACAUGUGGUUUAAUUCGAUGAUACGCGAGGAACCUUACCCGGGCUUAAAUUGCACUCGAAUGAUCCGGAAACGGUUCAGCUAGCAAUAGCGAGUGUGAAGGUGCUGCAUGGUUGUCGUCAGCUCGUGCCGUGAGGUGUCGGCUUAAGUGCCAUAACGAGCGCAACCCUUGCCACUAGUUACUAACAGGUAAAGCUGAGGACUCUGGUGGGACUGCCAGCGUAAGCUGCGAGGAAGGCGGGGAUGACGUCAAAUCAGCACGGCCCUUACAUCCGGGGCGACACACGUGUUACAAUGGCGUGGACAAAGGGAGGCCACCUGGCGACAGGGAGCGAAUCCCCAAACCACGUCUCAGUUCGGAUCGGAGUCUGCAACCCGACUCCGUGAAGCUGGAUUCGCUAGUAAUCGCGCAUCAGCCAUGGCGCGGUGAAUACGUUCCCGGGCCUUGUACACACCGCCCGUCAAGCCAUGGGAGCCGGGGGUACCUGAAGUCCGUAACCGCGAGGAUCGGCCUAGGGUAAAACUGGUGACUGGGGCU
rnacentral:rRNA from 1 species